AUUGGUGUUCACUCUAUAUUUGUUAUUUUUACCUGAGCUUAAUACCUGCUGAUUUGUCGUUACAUUGAAGUUAUGCAUUUGUUUCUUAAAUAAAUAUUUAGUUAUUGCUUAAAAAUAAGGCAUAGGUUAUUAAAGAAAACAGAAGUUAACAAAAUGGUAUGUGUACCGUGCGUUGCUGUUCCCAUAUUGUUAAUUAUAUGGAGAUUUUUAAUUCAACCAAUUAUUAUAAAAUGGUGGCAAUUAAAAAACAAAAUCAAAUGUACUAAUGAAAAAGAACCAACAUCAGAUUUAGUUAAAGAAUGUAAAAAUGGAGUAUGUACAUUAGCAUGGAAGAAAAAGGACGAAGAUAUAGGAAAAGUUGAUUAAAAUUUGAUUGAAAAAAAUUUAGCAAAUCAUUCCAAAGACUGCUACUAUGCAGAUACAAUAGCCUGUACAGAUGUGUUUCUAUUUAUUAAAUAUAUUUUUCAUAUUUUAAAGUUUAUCUUCAAAACAAU